rnacentral:tRNA from 1 species
GGGACGUUAGCUCAGUUGGUAGAGCAGGAGACUUUUAAUCUCAAGGUCUAGGGUUCGAUUCCCUAACGUCCCA